rnacentral:rRNA from 1 species
GACAGAGGAUGCAAGCAUUAUCCGGAAUGAUUGGGCGUAAAGCGUCUGUAGGUGGUUUUUCAAGUCCGCCGUCAAAUCCCAGGGCUCAACCCUGGGCAGGCGGUGGAAACUACCAAGCUAGAGUACGGUAGGGGCAGAGGGAAUUUCCGGUGGAGCGGUGAAAUGCAUUGAGAUAGGGAAGAACACCAACGGCGAAAGCACUCUGCUGGGCCGACACUGACACUGAGAGACGAAAGCUAGGGGAGCGAAUGGG